UUCUUUGGUUAUCUAGCUGUAUGAGUAUUGUUUAAUAACAUCAUAAAGCUAGGUUACCGGAGUU
rnacentral:pre_miRNA from 15 species